rfam:TPA: Bos taurus chromosome 7, whole genome shotgun sequence.
UCCCUGGUGGCUUAGAUGGUAAAGAAUCUGCCUACAAUGCAGAAGACCCAGGUUCAAUCCCUGAGUAAGGAA